GUCAGUAAAAAAUCAUUGAUAGCAACAUACUUUUGAAUCUAAAUUGUUUGUUUGUUUUGUUAAAAUCUUGUAAUAUGUAAUAACUUAUUCAUCGUUUUAAACUGAAAGCUAUCCUAAUGGUCAUUGGUUUUAGAGAAAACGUCCAAACCAAUAUUACUUUUAAAUAAGUUUAAAUGGUGCCGUGAGUGAGCAUACAAUCCACAAAAAAGCACCUUUUAAUGAACACGAAAAAAAUAUUUCUAAGAGGUGCAAUAUAAAAAAAUUCUGGAACACCUAGGAUUUCUCCCCACAAAAAGUGAAUCAAUUUAUCGUUCUUUUAAAGGGAUUUAAAAAAAAAUCAAAAAUUUUCUUCUGAUAUUUUUUUCUUGAUCUGGAAUAUUUCACGACAAUCUAUGAAGGUUUAUAAAUUGAACAUGUAAAACAAUUAACUGCGUAAAGAAGAGUCCGGCUAUCAGGC
rnacentral:lncRNA from 1 species